rfam:Capsicum annuum cultivar Zunla-1 chromosome 1, whole genome shotgun sequence
AGUCAUGUAAUGCGCACGUAGCGAACUAUUCUUUCGCCUUUUACUAAAGAAUACCAUGCGUGUGUUACAAAUAGUGGCAUAUGCCCAUUUUUGGAGGGAUUCUCUAUAUUGAGGAUC